GACUUGCAGGGUGGCAUUUCCAACAUUUUGGAGGAACUGGUUGUCCAGCCUCUGUUGGUUUCAGUGAGUGCUUUGACCCUAGCAACUGAAACUGUUCGGAGCAUUCUGAAAAUUGAUGAUGUGGUAAACACGCGAUAAUCUGGAUAACUGGUUGACUGGCAUCAUAAUGGCCACCAGUACUUCGGCUACUGUGGAAGAUGAUUGCCUUGGUGGUCCUUAUUGUUUGGAAGAUUGUUUCCUCUAUGAAUUCCCGAGCUUGGUCUUCCAGUUGGCAUUUGUUUGAAAUUGUAUUGAAACAAUUCAAUGAAAAUAUUAAAUAUUUGGUUUGAAAAGGCAGAUUAAUUUAUCUCCUCCCCAACAUUCUUUUAUUUCUGAUUCUUUUGAAAAACUUAGAA